CUCUUUUAAUGAGACCAUUCACAUAUUCACCUAACACACACUGAGUGAUGAUGAGUGAUAUAUAUUAGUCCUCAGAUUUUUUAGCAUGGUGAGGAAAAAAAGCUAUGAUGGCUGUAGGUUGUCCUGUUCAAGAAUAUGUUCGGUAAAAUAAAACUUGUGCCUAAAAAUGGUAGCAGUGUGGCACACUGCUGCAAGAAUUGGUUAUCUGGAUGAAAAUAUUGUGGAAAAGUCAUUUUCACUUGAAGAUGAUCUGAAUUCUCAGGGUAUAUUGAUUAGUACAUUUUGUUAUUGUAUAUAUUUUGUUCUUAAGGAUUAUCCACUAUACUGUAAUCUAAAAAGCCCUUUACUUUUAUUACUAGGGAUUUGAAGCAAACUCAUAUGAGGUUUUGGUGGGAUUUUUUUUACAAAGGGGAAAAAUUAAUUCUGUUUUCCUCUUGAUUUCUCCUUAGAAACUCCUUAGAAACUUGCGACUGAAAAUCAAGCUGUUUUCUGAUGUCAGGGGUACAAAUUUUUGCAGGCAAAUGGAGGCAAACAUGGCACUGAAAUGAAACAGGGUUCAUUUAUGCCCUUUUAAAUUCCAGCCUAAGAUUACAACCCACUUUUACUUACCUGUCAAUUACAGCCCAGUUAAUGUAAUGUUUAUGAAUGUGUACGCUUAGGGUUCAGGUAAAAGGCUGCAUGGGAAGCUGCAAUUAGCUGCAGUGUAUAAUGCAGUCAGAACACCUAAUUCUAAAUGUCUUUACCUGAAAGAAAUCCUCAGUGGAACAUAGUAUUAUGUUUGUGUCCUCAAGGCUUCAACUUAGGAAUUAAUUCAGUCCUUUGUAUACCUUUUUACCUUUAUUACACAGUCUUCUACCCAACUAUCGCUCAGAAUGCGUAUGUGGGAAGCACUCAUUGAUAGCAUCCUCAAGUCACCAUCUCCCUGCAUGUGAAAAAGUUGUUGCUGGCAUCCAUGUGUCUCGAGAGACAAUGGAAUAUGCCUCUGGGGGUGAAGUCAAACCACUGCAUUAGCAGCACUGAAAUUACCCCCCCCCUCCGGUGUAAACCUGGGAAGUGUGUAUGGAGAUCCUGGGCUGCCCAGAUGACAAGACCUCCCUCUUGGCCUUGCAGAUAUGGUCCAAAGGAAAGCAGAGCAAUACUUUGGUACCAGCUGGGUUGCAUGAGUUGCUGAAAGGAGGCGUACAAUGUGCCAUCCAACUCUCUUAGGGACUAUACUCUGGAUUUGUGUAGGGUUUACUCCUUAGCCUUUUCUUUUUCUGUAGAUAUCCCGCAAGGCAGCAGAGGUUUAGGGUCAGAAUUUUUUUCCUCCUAGAUGGAUUAUCUUUCUAGGUUGAUGAGCCCCAUCUGCCCCUAACUUCCCUCUAUAGCAGAAACCACCUUUUUGACCAUUGGACCCACUCUUGGUCUCAUCCCUCCAUUCACCAAAGCCUGUCUUCACAUGCAGGGGGAAGUCCCUAACAAACCAAGGGGCUGAGACUCAUCAGCUAUCCUCACCUGGCUAGUUGAAGCCGUUUCCUGGAAUGUGACCACUGUCACACGCUGACAGCUUCUAGGAGCCACAGGGGAGAGCUGAAUGCAGGGUGGGGACUGAAGAGGGCAAACUACACCAGAAGGAGCAUGGCGUGUCCCCCACCAGAGGUACUACCCCUCACUUAACAUCUGAGCAAAAAGGCUCUGAGUUAUGAAAUCUUAUAUAUAUUUAGGAAAAGAACUAUUAGUACCUAUGCAACUGUUCUAAAUCUGGCAAUAGUCAUGAUGUGUAGGAGGGAGUGAUAUCAUCCCACCAUAGGCUGAUUGUCACCAUAUUUAGAACAUCUGCAUAAGGCUGCUGCUUCCCCCCGUCACUUCCUUUUUUUGCAAUUAGACUAUCAGCACUGUUGCCCAUUGUCUAGCUAAUAUUUGAAAAGUGUGCUUUGAUUUUCAUUCCAGCUUUUUCCAUUAGUACCCUAACAUUUAUACAUCCUGUAACGUUUUAGCGUUAGAAAUGUAGUUCUGAAGUGGAAUCGGUUCAGAUGGGGUACAAGGCCAGCCCAAGGCAUUCGGGUGCUUCAGCCACAUUUCCAUGUUCAUAAGCUGAUCAGACUGGUAGCUGAAUCUCACUUCUACAGUAGCAGUGGAACAGUGUUGAAGCUAGGGUUGAACACUAGCCAUGAAACAACACUUGAGGACAGGAGGCUAUUUUAUUGGUCAAAAGGCACGUUGUGCGGCAUACACAGCUGUCUUCCAGUCUCUCACUGCCACUCUCUGCCCCCUGAAUCUGCUACCUGAGAUCAGUGGCUAAGCCGCAUGCUCCGCUACCGGGGUCGGAGAGCGGGUGGGGAUGUGGCUGGCACCCCCACAGGGGUGUGACGCACAUCCUGGGGGCGUGUAGACCACCCGCAAGGGCGCUGCCCGCAGGUGCAUGGUGCGUGUUCUGGGGGCGUGAUGUGCCAACUGUGGGGGCAUGGUGACCAGGUGUGUGUGCAACGGCUGUCCGGGGGGGGCGCGAUGGCACCCUACCAGAAUAGUGGUGCCGGGGGCGGUCCGCUCCCUCCGCGCCCCCGUUCUUCCGCCAGUGCCUGAGAUGGCUGCUUCACUCUGUCUAAUGAUAGGGACAGCCCUGGGUAUUGUUGAACAGUUCGUUCGUUCCAAGUUCCACCACUACUGUGUCCCUGUACAUGUCUGUAGUACAGCCUAAAGCUGCAGUGUUGGGCUGCUAUAGAUCAGUUCAUAUAUUGUAUGCUAUAACUGGUGUUCAGUUCUGCGUUGAAGGACCUCCCAAAUGCUUUCUAGCUUCUGUUUUGCAUUUAAAGCUUGAAAUGAAAUUGUUCCCUAUUUGCACAAACAAAAUUAAUGAGGCACUUUUCUCUGAUGCCAUCAGAUCUGUGUGUUUUCAGGAGACUGUGUGUCUCUUUGAAGACAAGACAAUUUGACAUGAGGUAAGCCAUGCUACUUUUCUGGCUAGAAUACUGCAAACAUCCGAAUUAAUUGGAUAUAUCUCACAAUUUGGAUCCUAUAGGUUGAUGUAAGAAAAUGAGCAAAAAAUCACUUUUCAUGCAGUAUAGACAUGGACUUUUAGAGGCAUAGAGCAUUUUCCAGAAGCAAUUCAGUUAACCUGAUUCAUAUUGGAAUGGAUAUUUUGAUUUUGAAAUUGGUCCUUUGCAGAUAACGAACCAGGGGUAGCCAACAUGCCUGUUUUUGGACUCCAACUUGUAUCAGCUGCAGCCAAUGGUAAAGGAUAAAAGGAGUUGUAGUCCAGCAACAUCUGAAGGGCAUCAUGUUGACUAUCUCUUUAAUUAACAAUACCGUCCAUAGAAAGACUAAGAAUUGUUAGAAAACACAGAAGAGAGAUGGAUUCACAUAUUUGUUUGCCUGUGUUGCAAAUUAUUACAUGGUGAUAAAUACAGGCAAAUAUGGCACCAAAUGGGAGUGGAUUUAUAGUCUAUCCAGAUCUUUCACUGCUGUUAAGCAAAUCUCUGAUUCUGCUGCAGUAGCUGAAGUGACUUCCUUUCAUAAGCAAGUUACGAAAACUACACAAGACAAUGAAAGUAAGUUUCAAAUAAUGCACACUGGGGCAAAAUAAUAAUUAAAAAAUCCUAAUGUUACAAAUUCACUGAUGGGACCUGAACUGAUGGUGACUUAUCUGGAAAGAGAUCUUGGGUCAGUGGUGGAAAGCUCAAUGAAAAUGUUGACCCAGCAUACAACAGCUAUGAAAAACUCAAAUUCCAUGCUGGGAAUCAUUAAGAAAGGCACAGAAAGGAAAAACUCACAAUACUGUACUUGUCAAUGCCUUUAUCUGUGGUGCAGUCACACGUGGGAUAUUGCACACCAUUCUGGCCUUCUUAUCUCAAAAAGGAUAUUGUUGAGAUCAAGAAGAUGCAGAAAAGAACAGCUAACAUGAUCAUUGGGCUGUAGCAACUCCCUUAUGAGGAAACUUCCCAACUUUGGGGACUUUAUAGUUUGAUGUCAUCCCCCUGCUGGAGGAAUCCUCUUUGCAGAGUGACCUGAAGCACCUAAAGACAAACAUCAUGGAGAAGCUGCCCAUAUCAAGGGACUUCAGAGAUCUGGCAGGAUCUGGCGCUCUCAGGGAACAUGGCAGCCGAAUCUUCUCCUCAAGGCACAGCUCCAUCACAGUAUCGGAGGUGGAAGCUGAGUAGACAUGUGAGUCCUAGGGAGUGCAGGUUCCUGAAGGUGAAAGCUCAGUCAACCACUGGAUGUCGGAGUGCCCACAUAAGGAACAAGGACUCCUCAGAAGAAAAUGAGAUACUCAUGAGUAAGGCAGUCCUCGUGAGCUGACCAAAUCCUCAGGUGACUCCGAUGUCCUGCAGCUGUGCUCUGGGUGGGACUCUGAAGGCUCAGGCUUAAGAGCCUUAUGUUUCAAGCACAGAAUGUGAGAAUUACAUGUGUGCAGCCCUGACAAGUCAUUGGACUCCCUGUGUUUGGGCCCCCAUUUCUUGUGCUGUCUCUGCGCUUUUGACUACCUUUGAAUUUGGUUCUGGUACUGUUGACACUCAGCUGCUUUUCCUGUGCAGCAGGGCAUUUAAGAAAAAGUGAGUAACAGGGUCAUGAUAGAUGUGCACAGAAUUAUUCAUGGCAAAGUGAACUUUGACAGGAGGAGGUAUUUGUCUAGACUAGAAAUUGUUCAAUGAAGCUGAAUGCUAGAAGAUUCAGGGCACACUUCUCCACACAGUACAUACUUAAACUGUGGACUUUAAAGGGGAUUGGAUGAUUUCAUGAAGGAUAAAACUAUCAAUGAUUUUGUCAUGAUGGCUAUGUAUUGCCACCAGAACAAGAGGCCACAUGCCUUUGAAUACCAGAAGAACAGCAGCAGAGGACUCUUGCUGUUCCCUGCCUAUGGGCUUCUCGUUGGCAUCUAGUUGGAAACUUCAGGAAAUGGGAAGUUGGGAUUAGAUAGGCUUUUGGUCUAAUUCAGCAGGUCUCUUUUAUGUUUUUUGUAACAAACCCUAUAAACAAAGAGGCAACAUCCUAUUUUUAUACCACCAUCCUUGAAAAUGCAUUCACAUAGAAACAAGGCUGAGGAAAAGUUGGGUAAGUCAGUUGCUUUCAGUGUUUUCGCAUGGCCCUUUACUAUCUAAAUGUUCACUGUGGAACACACACAAGCACGGAGGAAGAUGGUGUAUUACUGCAUAUACAGUUAAUGUAUCCCAUGACAGCAGAAAAGAAAAUUAUCUCCCCCUCAUGUCAAUUGAAAAGUAGAGCAAGAAGGUGAAGAUACAUUUCUUGGUGUCUUAAUAGGUGAUUACAUAGUAGUCCCUUUUCUCCAGACAUGAAAUACAUGCCUGUUUGAGGUUUGACCUGUAGCAGGUUUGGGUCCCCCUCUGGGGGGAAAAUCUGCGCAUAAAUUGUCUUCAGCCUUAAUGAGCAGUAGAACCAUGCUCUUUUUUUUGUAUUGUAGUCUCAUUUAGUAAUGAGAAAAGUUGUGUGGAAACAGAUCCUUUAUUAUAUCUGCUGAAUUGGUAAUAUACUUUGUAAGGUUAAAGUUUAAGUAUUCAAAGGAGAUGUCUCAAAAAGAACAUCACAUUUCCAAGUUUGUUUCCAAGCUGAUUUAAAACAAAUAAAAGUGAUUAAAUGAACUGUUAGGACUAUAUGGAGAAGGGAGAGGGAAAGGAUCUGGUAUAAUAAUGUACAGGAAUUUGAAAAGAACUGUUAUCAUUUAAGAUAGCAAAAUGUUUCUUUUUUUUUUAAAAAAAAGAAGAAACUACUAAAAUCAGCUACUGAGAAAAAUGCUGGAAGAAAUAAAAAGUGAAAUUGCAAAAUGGCAUGUUUGUCUUUGAUAUGUGUGCAUCUAUAAGCAGUGUCCCACAAGAAUGGGUUGGGUGGUGAAAUGAAUGGAUUUAAAACAGGCCACAACAUUGUUGAAUAAACUACCAGAAGAGCCCUUAUUGCCUAUGUCCCUGAGGCUUGCCAUGACUGCCCUGCCAUUUGACCCCAGAGGCCAUCUUACUUCUGAGCUGUUCCAGAUUAAGCUGUCUUGCUUUUUGGUCAAGGAAGGGGGACCAGCUCGCCCACCUGUCACAGUACUUGUGCACCUGCCAGAGACGGGGCUUCUUUUGCUUGGCUUCCACCCCCCAUCUCCAAACCAGAGCUCAAAACACAGCAAGAACCCCAACAUAGAUCCCACAACAACUCAAUAUAAACAAUGAAAGAGGACAUGAUAUCAAAUGAUAUUUGAGGAAAAUGUCUCAUCCCUAGUCAGAAAGAUGGAUUUGAAAGAAAGAAGGAAAGGUGAAUUUCAUCACACCAGUAAAGUGGUUGUACCUACGUAACUUCUUCUUGUUGUUUGGACACCCACCACCACUAAGAAACUGCAUUGGCAAUUUCAGUAUUUGAUUUAAGUGAAGCUCUCUUCUUGGCCGUAGGAGUCGUUGGACUCGAUGGCCCUUGUGGUCUCUUCCAACUCUAUGAUUCUAUGAUAUCUUGCCCACAUCCCUGGCGUACUUGCCAUUGCCAUGAUCCUUGCCAUGAUCUCAAGACAAAGUCAAAGCUUCAGUAUCUCAGUCAUGCCCAAUCACUUUUGAGAGGCAGUAAACCAGUUGAGACUGAACCCAAGUCAUUAUUUCCCAAAUUAAUCACCAGUUACAUAAGCAGGGGCUCAGGACUUCAACACGCCCAUCAACUCAGGGGACAAAGAAGCCAUAGCAUCUCUCAGGUUUUAAAUCAUUUGAUAUGAGUCAUUCUGCUAAGGUUCCAAGAUGUCAAUGUGCAGCAGUAUGCCUCGCUAUCCAGUACAAGAAGCAGCUAUACUCAAUGACCCACAUCUUUUGGGGGGAAGAAAGCUGCGAAAAAAGAGAGAAAGAAAAACCCAGGCUUAGCAGCCAAAGCUACCUGCAUUCCUAGUUUCCCAAGCCUCAGUCCAAUAUAGGACGAAUAUGUCCUUGAAUGCCAUCGCUACUAAAUCCUAUUGAUGAGGCCAUCAUGACUGCCCUUACGCAAAAAGAACAGAAAACAUUACCAGCAGCAGCAGCCUAGGAACAACCAAAUAGCAAUCACUAUAAUUGCAUAGAAAAGUCAUAGAAAAGGUUAACUCUUCCGCACUUCUUUUACCACUGAACAUCUGAACUUGCUAGUUUUCCUUAAGAUGGUAAAUAGCAGCUGGGAGUGGUGAUUUUUUUUUUUAAAAAAGAAUGUGACAAUAAGGGGAAGGAUUAUAAAUUUGUCUCCCAGUGCCAUGGUGCCAAUCCAGGCUGAACUUUUCAGAAGGCUAUUUGCUAAAACUGAAAGAGACAAUCUAUUGUUGCAUUUAAUUUGACCCCGUACUGAUGCGGGGGGUGUCUUUCCAGCUGAAAUAUAGUUAAUCAUUAGGCAGUAGAUUAGUUUGGUCUGAAUGCAUUAUGGAUGUGCUUUAUUGCUGUUGCGUCAGCAUGGAAAUCUCACAUCUGAAAAUGCAUGGCAUGUUACAAAAGAAACUGGAAGCAGCAGCAUCCGUUCUCAACUGGAUAACAAUUUGCAAAGCACUUGUCAAGAAUAUGACAGACUGUACUGAUAAAGAGCUAUACGUGAUGGCCAUGUUUCUAAGGGUCCCUAUAAAUAGCAAAGAGCUGUGGGAUAUGAAAAGUAUAAGUGGCGAAGCUAUCCAUUUCUGAACAAAAUGUUUUAAGAGGCAAUCUAACAAAGCAACUAUGUAAAAUGACACAUAAACCAAGCACAGGGUGCACUGUAACAAAGACAGGUGAAGUAAUUUUGCCAAUUGAGGCAGAAAAUUCCACAAGUCUCUCCCUGCUUCAAUCCUUGGCAAUAAAAAUACAGAAUUAAAUACUAUAACAGCUGACUGCUCUUUCUUGAUACUCAAAAUCAGCUGCAUUACUCUGCCUUAUUUAUUUUUAAAGCAUUUCUAAACUGCCUAUAUUUUUUAAAAAAAUCUCUUUUAAGUGGUAUGCACUAUGUACCAUAU